rnacentral:lncRNA from 1 species
GCCACAUUCUAUCCCCAGGGAGGGAGCUCAUAAAUAUUCACAUGUACUUGAGAGGGAGGGAGGCAGCAAGCCUGCUGUUGGGUGUCAUUGGAGAAUUCCCAUCUCCCAGUGACUGCAGAGGCAGCCUGGGAUUCGGAUGUGGUUCAGGCUGGGAAAAGAAAGGGAAGCCAGUCAUAACUUGAGAACCUGGAAGGAAGCGCCCCGCCUCCAUCCCAGGCUCCUAGGGCAGAGAAGCUCAGCCGGUCCCAGCACCCAGAAGGAAGCUCCCCCACUGCCAUCCCAAGCUCCUAGGCCAGAGAAGGUGAGCCGAGUGGGUGCCAGAAGCACACCCCCGUCCCGCCCCCCGUGGAAAUGAGAAAACACAUAAACAAGCCUCAAAAACAGACUUCCGGAUCACCUACAGCAACCCCAAAGGGAAACAAGGUGGAACAAUCUGAUACUUAACCACCUGGACUCUCUAAACUGUCAACAAAAGAGGAUCUGGGAAAAAUGAAAUCAGAAAUAAUUACUCAGCUAACAGCAAAGAUUUUGCUCAUGGUGCAAGACAUGAUUAAUAAAUCUAGAGAGGACACAGAUAAAAAAAUAGAGGAUCUGAGGAACAUGAUGGAAUCCCAACAUAGGAAACCCGAAAUCCAUAAAACAGAUACAAACAGAUUUCCAAGAGAUUAAAAA